rfam:Clostridium sp. CAG:571 genomic scaffold, scf3
UUUUCCCUGCAUAGUACGUGUAGACUGAGAUUUUAGAACCAACAAACAUUAAACGGGAGUCUGCCUUUAAUUGUGGCGUGUAUGCUUGCAUUUAUGUAAGAAACCCAUAAGCAUUUAACAAGACACCCACCUGUGAAAGCAGGUCCUUAAAAUUUCAUUCACCUUGCGGCUAAAGCGGGGCUUUU